GACGAACGCUGGCGGCGUGCUUAACACAUGCAAGUCGAACGGUAAGGCCCUUCGGGGUACGACGAGUGGCGAACGGGUGGAGUAACACGUGGGUGAUCUGCCCUGCACUUUGGGAUAAGCCUGGGAAACUGGGUCUAAUACCGAAUAGGACCAUGGACUUCACGGUUUGUGGUGGAAAGCUUUUGCGGUGUGGGAUGGGCCCGCGGCCUAUCAGCUUGUUGGUGGGGUAAUGGCCUACCAAGGCGACGACGGGUAGCCGGCCUGAGAGGGUGACCGGCCACACUGGGACUGAGAUACGGCCCAGACUCCUACGGGAGGCAGCAGUGGGGAAUAUUGCACAAUGGGCGCAAGCCUGAUGCAGCGACGCCGCGUGAGGGGAUGAC
rnacentral:rRNA from 1 species